rnacentral:rRNA from 1 species
AUUGAACGCUGGCGGCAUGCCUUACACAUGCAAGUCGAACGGCAGCACGGGAGCAAUCCUGGUGGCGAGUGGCGAACGGGUGAGUAAUAUAUCGGAACGUGCCCAGUCGUGGGGAUAACGUAGCGAAAGCUACGCUAAUACCGCAUACGAUCUAUGGAUGAAAGCGGGGGAUCGCAAGACCUCGCGCGAUUGGAGCGGCCGAUAUCAGAUUAGGUAGUUGGUGAGGUAAAGGCGUCACCAAGCCGACGAUCUGUAGCUGGUCUGAGAGGACGACCAGCCACACUGGGACUGAGACACGGCCCAGACUCCUAC